AAAGGGUCAUGCAUAACCCUUGUAGAAAGCACUUUCUACAACAGGCCCGGGUAGUCAGCCAGACCCAUCAACACCACCUUGAACCAUCAACAUCAUCCACUUAGCUUACCUUGCUGAUCCGUGUUUAAAUGCUAUCUCGUGAGGCAAAAGGAUGGGAUUGGGGCUCAAACUAGAUUACCCUUGUUCAGACUCCCUAAGAUACGAGGAAGCGAAAAAGGAUCACAGCCAUCACAGAACCUGUUAUUUUCUCCAUCAACAAUAGAUUGAAGCCUUUAAAUCUCUAUAUCCAAGUGAAGUUGACAAGCAUUUGUUGUCUCAGCAGACUGGUUUGUCCAAAUAUCAGCAACAGCAGCAGCUGCCACCAUGGUUCCACCAACAACAGUCUCCAUCAGAUUCCCAACAGCAGCGAACCACACCAAACUAGCAUCAAUAGCCUCCACCACCUCCAGCGGACUCUCAUUUUCAGCAGCCGCCACUAACAAGGUGGCACCAGCAAGCACCACCCACAACCACCAACAAAAUGAAUAAUGGAUCUUAAAGAGGAUGGAACAAUAUUUUGUGCUUCUAGAUGGUGUAAUUUUUAGUUUAGAAAACUGGAGAGCAAUUUUAGUUUUUGUUUAGAAAAUUGGAGAUUUUAUGGAUCUUGAAUAUAUGUAUUGAGGAUUUAUUUUA